rnacentral:rRNA from 1 species
CCUACGGGUGGCAGCAGUGGGGAAUAUUGGGCAAUGGGCGAAAGCCUGACCCAGCAACGCCGCGUGGUGGACGAAGGCCUUAGGGUUGUAAACACCUUUUAUUAGGGAAGAUAAUGACGGUACCUAAUGAAUAAGCAUCGGCUAACUUCGUGCCAGCAGCCGCGGUAAUACGAAGGAUGCUAGCGUUACUCGGAAUUACUGGGCGUAAAGAAUGCGUAGGCCGACCAUUAAGUUGAUAGUGAAAUCCCCGAGCCUAACUUGGGAACUGCUGUCAAAACUGAUAGUCUAGAAUAUGGUAGAGAGUAAGGGAAUUCUUGGUGUAGGGGUAAAAUCCGUAGAUAUCAGGAGGAAGACCGGAAGCGAAAGCGCUUACUUGGGCCAUCAUUGACGCUGAGGCAUGAAAGCGUGGGGAUCGAACAGGAUUAGAUACCCCGGUAGUCC